AGCCGCCUCCUUCCCCCCUCCUUUGCCCCACAUAUACUCCCCCCCUCCCACUUCCUUUGGGUUACACCAUCUGAGACUGUAGAGGGGGGAGAAAAAGGCUUUUUAGAAAGCGACUUUCCCCGCAGAGCUGUUAGCCUCGCUUUCUGCCGCCGAGGAGUGUGUCGUGCUUUCUCCCCACCGCGUGUGUAGAACUUCGAUCCUUAAAGCUGUUAAGAAAUUAUGAAAAUUAAAACCCACGAUGGGAUUCAGGGCAACCCACUUCGAAGGGAAUGCGCUUGGCCUCGCUGUCGACAUGGAUUUGUCCCGGUCCGCUCUCCCCUACUGCAUGGGAGGAAUGGUACAAUCCUGGCUGGCGGAGGAGGGAAUGAGAUCACGGAGCAAGACUGGAAGCAACCAAAGUUGCAACUUUGGGGAGUCCUUAGAAAAGGAAGAGAUGGACAGAGCUCACGCUUGUCGGGGUCGGGGGCUGUAGUCCCCCCCCCACUUUGGUGAUGCUUGGGAUGUGCAAAGCCUCCUGUCAUUUAGACACUUCAGGGCAAGUCACUUGCGGCCGCCGCAGAGUAUAGGAGACAAAAAGAAAAUAGAGGGGCACUUCAGACCAAACGAGGAUGUAUGAUCCUUUCAACCAUGGAGAGAUGGAUGGCCUGAUCCUAUCUACCCAAACAUACACAUGUGAUAAGGACUAAUGUCAUAUCAAGAUAAAAGGAUAUCAGUUUCUACCAAGGCUGUCCAUUCUAGUUUCUGAACCAUGACUGGGCUUGUAGCUUAGAAUACACACACAGCUCUGUUCACCUCCUGCUCAGUCCGAUUUAUGCUGUUGCCUGUUAAUUCCAUAACAACUUUGAGCCUCUAAAGAUCCUGCAGCACUUUUUAAAACCGGGAUGAGCCUAAUCGCUCAACACAUACAAAAAUGCAUUGAAACUAUGGGGAAGGGGAACACCUACCCUGAUACUCUUAU